rnacentral:rRNA from 1 species
UACAGAGGGUGCAAGCGUUGUUCGGAAUUACUGGGCGUAAAGCGCGUGUAGGUGGCGAUGUAAGUCGGGUGUGAAAUCCCUCAGCUUAACUGAGGAAGUGCACUCGAUACUGUGUCGCUUGAGUGUUGGAGGGGAUGGCGGAAUUCCCGGUGUAGAGGUGAAAUUCGUAGAUAUCGGGAGGAACACCUGUGGCGAAGGCGGCCAUCUGGACGAAUACUGACGUUGAGACACGAAAGCGUGGGGAGCAAACAGG